UCCGUCGUGGAGAGGGAAACAACCCUGACCUCCGGCUAAGGCCCCCAAUUCAUGGCUAAGUGGGAAAGCAGGUGAGACGUCCAAAACAACCAGGAGGUUGGCUUAGAAGCAGCCAUCCUUUAAAGAUAGCGUAACAGCUCACUGGUCUAAAUAAGUUGUCCUGCGGCGAAGAUGUAACGGGGCUCAAGCCAUGAGCCGAAGCUUAGGAUGCACAUAGUGCAUGGUAGCAGAGCGUAGUGU
rnacentral:rRNA from 1 species